rnacentral:rRNA from 1 species
AAUAGAUACCCAGGUAGUCCACGCCGUAAACGAUGAGUGCUAAGUGUUGGGGGGUUUCCGCCCCUCAGUGCUGCAGCUAACGCAUUAAGCACUCCGCCUGGGGAGUACGGUCGCAAGACUGAAACUCAAAGGAAUUGACGGGGGCCCGCACAAGCGGUGGAGCAUGUGGUUUAAUUCGAAGCAACGCGAAGAACCUUACCAGGUCUUGACAUCCCGGUGACCACUAUGGAGACAUAGUUUCCCCUUCGGGGGCAACGGUGACAGGUGGUGCAUGGUUGUCGUCAGCUCGUGUCGUGAGAUGUUGGGUUAAGUCCCGCAACGAGCGCAACCCUUAUUCUUAGUUGCCAUCAUUCAGUUGGGCACUCUAAGGAGACUGCCGGUGAUAAACCGGAGGAAGGUGGGGAUGACGUCAAAUCAUCAUGCCCCUUAUGACCUGGGCUACACACGUGCUACAAUGGACGGUACAAACGGUUGCCAACCCGCGAGGGGAGCUAAUCCGAUAAACCGUUCUCAGUUCGGAUUGUAGGCUGCAACUCGCCUAC